rnacentral:rRNA from 1 species
UACGGAAGGGGCUAGCGUUGUUCGGAAUUACUGGGCGUAAAGAGCGCGUAGGCGGCUUACCAAGUUGGGGGUGAAAUCCCGGAGCUCAACUCCGGAACUGCCUUCAAAACUGGUAGGCCCGAGUCCGGAAGAGGGGCGUGGAAUUCCCAGUGUAGAGGAGAAAUUCGUAGAUAUUGGGAAGAACACCGGUGGCGACGGCGGCGCCCUGGUCCGGUACUGACGCUGAGGCGCGAAAGCGUGGGGAGCAAACAGG